GGUUCCUCUACUGCCACCCUGGUCUUCCAAUUCCCAUGCUGGUCCUCCCAUACUCAUCCUGAGGCUCCCAUUCCCAUGCUGGUCCUCCCAUUCCCACCCUGAGCCUCCCAUUCCCAGGCUGUUCUCGCCCUGCCCCGUGAAGCAGGGGUGCUACAAAAACAGCCACCGGGUUCCCCCAUCGAUGUUCCAGCCUGGAUCUCUGGCCAAGCGUACAAGGUUCAACGUGGCCGAUUGCUGGGUACAACGCUUGGGCCACAACAGCCCCGUGGAGCUCCAGGCUUGAGGAAGAGCAGCUGGAAAGCUGCCUGGUGGAAAAGGACAUGGAGGUGUUGGUUGACAGUGGCCGAAUGUGAGCCAGCAGUGGCCUGGGUGGCCAAGAAGGCCAAUGGCAUCUUGGCUUGGAUCAGAAACAGCAUGGCCGGCAGGACCAGGGCAGGGAUUGUGCCCCUGGACUUGGCAUUGCGCAGCAGUAGUAAACUUUGCCAUUUCUUCCACGGGGCUGAGAGGCAAUGGCGGAGGAGCUGCUCCUGAAGGUGCGGAAGUCCUUCGUGGAGCGCGUGAGCAGGGCGGUGAUCUUGGAGCUGCUGGACGACCUGCUGCAGCACCGGGUGCUGAACCUCGAGGAGGUGGACGAGGUGCGCGCUGAACACAAGGUGCGCGCCGACAAGGCCCGCUGCCUCAUCGACAGCGUACGCCGCAAGGGCUCCAAGGCCAGCAGGAUCUUCAUCACCAGCCUCAGGAAUCAUGACAGCACCUUGGCAGAGGAGCUGGGUCUGCCUGAUGACAUGGGGCCCCCGGGUGCGCAGCUGGCCUCCCCUUACCCGAAGGUCCCCCCUGAGCCCCGCGCCAGCUCCCAGGGCCAGCAGUGGAUCCAGCAGUGCUGCCCGGGCGAGUACCAGCGCUUCAGGGAGACACAGGCAGAUCAGAUCUAUCCCAUCCAUCUACCCCAGGAGACACGAACACGCAGGGCCCUGCUUAUCUGCAACAUUGAGUUUGAGCACCUAAGCCGGCGCAGUGGGGCUGAAGUGGAUGUGGAGGGCAUGACGAAGCUGCUGGAAGGGCUGGGCUACAUGGUGGACAUCCAUCUCAACUUAACUUCUCAGGAGAUGGCUACGGUCAUGAAGGAUUUUGCCAAUUGCAAAGAGCACCUCACCUCUGACAGCACCUUCCUGGUCUUCAUGUCCCACGGGGUCAGGGCUGGGCUAUGCGGGACGAAGAGCAGAGACGAGACCACAGACAUCCUUUCCCUCGACACCAUCUACAAAGAAUUUAAUAACAAGCACUGCCAGGCGCUGCUGGGCAAACCCAAAGUCGUCAUUAUUCAGGCCUGCCGUGGAGGCCGCGUAGGAUCCGUGAUGGUGAGUGACUCCGCAGACCCUGCCAUGCCCGCUCCCAGCUCCGCUCCCACAAUCCCUGCAGGGCUGGAAGAUGAUGCAGUCUGUGAAGUCCACCUGGAGAGUGAUUUCGCCACUUUACAUUCCUCCACACCUGAUACUGUCUCCUGGAGAAGCUCAGUAACCGGCUCCAUUUUCAUCCAGCGCCUGAUAGAGCAGUUUCGAAACCAUGCCUGGAACAACGACGUACAGGAGCUCUUCCAAAAGGUGCGGCUUUGUAGUUCACUGCAGGUGUUGAGAGCACAAUGUCAGGCAGGAGAGGCCCCUCAGGAGCAGGCUCUGUCAAAAAGGGGUCUGCCCGUGUAAUCAGCACUGGUGAACCCACACCUUGAAUCCUGGGUUCAGUUUUGGGCCCCUCACUACAAGAAAGAUAUUGAGGGUCUGGAGUGCGUCCAGAGAAGGGAACAGAGCUGGGAAGGGGCUGGAGAACAAGGGUUAUGAGGAGCAGCUGAGGGAGCUGGGGUUGUUUAGCCUGGAGAAGAGGAGGCUGAGGGGACACCUUAUCACUGUCUACAACUGCCUGAAAGGAGGUUGUGGUGAGGUGGGUGUUAGUCUCUUCGCCCAAGUGACAGGUGAUAGGACAAGAGGGAACGACCUCAAGCUGCGUCAGGGCAGGUUUAGAUUGGACACUAGGAAAAAUUUCUUCACCAAAAGGGUUCUCAGGCACCGGCAGAGGCUGCCCAGGGAGGUGGUUGAGUCCCCAUCAUCAGAGGGGUUUUAAAAGACAGGUAGAUAAAGUGCUUAGUGAUAUGACUUAGUAGUGAUGGGUGCGGUUGGAACUGAUGAUCUUAAGGGACUUGUCCAACCUAGUGAUUCUAUGAUUCAGCCUAGAGAGUCAGCUGGAUCUCUGGAGGCAUCAGUACCCUGCCACACGGUGGGCAUGCAGGAGCCCGGCAUGCUGGCACAGCCCAUGGCAACCCUUGUGCUACCAGACACACACCUGGGGAAGCCCCUGAGGAUACUUUCUGGUUGCCUGCAUGCUGGGAACAGAGCUGCUGUCAUUUCUCUCCACUCUCUCUCACCCCAGGUCCAACGUUCCUUUCAAAAAUUCCCUCGGCAGUUGCCAGCACAAGAACGGGUUACAAUGCUUCGCAAGUUCUAUCUCUUUCCAGGAUGCUGAUCUCCUGCCCACAGCAAAACCAUAAUAGACGUACACAAAAAGCAUUUGGAUUUGGAGGUCACACAGCAGAAUGCUCAAGCUCAAGGUGAGAGAGAAGAGGAAAAGCCCAGAGCAGCUUGUCAGAAGCUAUCUCCAGCCCAGCCCAGCCCCUUGUGACCCUCUGCUAGGCCACUUCAAACUGACUGAAUAAAACAGUCUUUGGUCUCCUUUCCUCCUUGCCUUUUGUGGCCUCCAAACAACCACAGGCUGAGUGAGCUCUUGGCAGGGAGCAGCCAAGACACCUGGCUCUGAGGCAGCACAUGCAAAGCUGGGCAGCGUCUCUCUCUUAGCUAUCCCCGGCCAGAGCCUGUCCCCACUGCGACAUGAUCUGUCACCCCCACAGUCGCUUUGCUCCAUCUCUGGCUUUGUCCCCCAUCUCAUGAAGGGAUUUUCAUGGCAGAGGCCCCCACUCUGCCUGCAGCCUCUGUGGGUCCUCACAGCCCACAGGAGCUGCUGCAGGGACCCCAUGGAGGAGGGGAUGCUGGGGGCAUUUCCAUGCCUUCCCCAGGCAGGAUUGCAGCAUCUCCUACUCAGGACACAGCUUCCUCUCCACUCAACCCUCUGUCUGCCCCGGAGUCUGCAGGAAUGACAGGACUUCCUCUGGGAGCCAGGAAAGAUCUCCAAAGCUGUGUCCUGCUGCACUGCCUCCAUAGCUCAUACGGGCCCAGCCCUUUCCCACCACCCUCCCCAUCAUGGAAUCACGGAAUCA